rnacentral:rRNA from 1 species
AACGAACGCUGGCGGCAUGCCUAACACAUGCAAGUCGAACGAGACCUUCGGGUCUAGUGGCGCACGGGUGCGUAACGCGUGGGAACCUGCCCUUAGGUUCGGAAUAACUCCCCGAAAGGGGUGCUAAUACCGGAUAAUGUCUUCGGACCAAAGAUUUAUCGCCUUUGGAUGGGCCCGCGUUGGAUUAGCUAGUUGGUAGGGUAAAAGCCUACCAAGGCGACGAUCCAUAGCUGGUCUGAGAGGAUGAUCAGCCACACUGGGACUGAGACACGGCCCAGACUAAUGGGGGAGGUAGACGGGGAGAAUAUGCAACAACGGGGGACAGUCGGCACAAGGGAUGGCGGGGGAGAUAUGAAGGCCUUAGUGUUCUAAAGCUCCUGUCGGAGGGAAAAAAAGAAGAGCGACGAGCGAAUAAGCUCCGGCUAACCCGCGAGCGGCGGCACCGGGAAUAGUCGGAACCGAACCGGACUGAAC